rnacentral:rRNA from 1 species
GACAGAGGGUGCAAACGUUGUUCGGAAUUACUGGGCGUAAAGCGUGUGUAGGCGGUCUUGUAAGUCGGGUGUGAAAGCCCAGGGCUCAACCCUGGAAGUGCACUCGAAACUGCAAGGCUAGAGUACCGGAGAGGUUGGUGGAAUUCUCGGUGUAGAGGUGAAAUUCGUAGAUAUCGAGAGGAACACCGGUGGCGAAGGCGGCCAACUGGACGAGUACUGACGCUGAGACACGAAAGCGUGGGGAGCAAACAGG